UAUUAGCCCCGAUUGCAGUGGAAAGCUUUUUGAAAUCUCGUUACAUUUUUUCUUGCUAAAAAAGAGCGACGGUAGGAGCUCCUUUUUUUGCUUAGAAAAAAGUAAACGAGAGGAAAAAACUUGUAACGAAAAGCGGGAAAUAGC
rnacentral:sRNA from 26 species